rnacentral:rRNA from 1 species
CCUACGGGUGACAGCAGUGGGGAAUAUUGCACAAUGGGGGAAACCCUGAUGCAGCGACGCCGCGUGAGUGAAGAAGUAUUUCGGUAUGUAAAGCUCUAUCAGCAGGGAAGAAAAUGACGGUACCUGAUUAAGAAGCCCCGGCUAACUACGUGCCAGCAGCCGCGGUAAUACGUAGGGGGCAAGCGUUAUCCGGAUUUACUGGGUGUAAAGGGGGCGUAGACGGCAGCACAAGUCUGGAGUGAAAUGCCGGGGCUUAACCCCGGAACUGCUUUGGAAACUGUGCAGCUAGAGUGCAGGAGAGGUAAGUGGAAUUCCUAGGGUAGCGGUGAAAUGCGGAGAUAGUAGGAGGAACCACAGUGGCGAAGGCGGCUUACUGGACUGUAACUGACGUUGAGGCUCGAAAGCGGGGGGAGCAAACAGGAUUAGAUACCCUAGUAGUC